rnacentral:lncRNA from 10 species
CCUUUUCCCAUUUAUUGAAAUGAUCAUGUGUGGUUUUUUUAUUCUGUUAAUAUGGUGGAUUUUGUCAGUUGAUUUUCAAAUAUUAGAACAGCCUUGCAUUCCUGGGAUAAACUUCACUUGAUCAUAAUAUAUUAUUCCCUUUGUAUAAUUUGGAAUUAUAUCAGCUAAAGUUCCAGGCUGGUCUCAAAUUCCUGAGCUCAAGUGAUCCUCCUGCCUCGGCCUCCUAAAGUGCUAGGAUUACAGGCAUGAGCCACUGUGCCCAGCCAUGAAAAGACCCUCUUUAUCCCUUUAUUCUUUACUCUGAAAUCUACUUUGGUAUUAAUAUAGACAUUCCUGGCUUAUUUUAAUUAUUGUUAGCAUGGCAUAUCUUUUUUACUUUUUUUUUUUUUUUGAGACAGAGUCUCGCUCUGUGGCCCAGGCAGGAGUGCAGUGGCGCAAUCUCGGCUCACUGCAAGCUCCGCCUCCCGGGUUCACGCCAUUCUCCUGCCUCAGCCUCCCAAGUACAGGCUGGAGUGCAGUGGCACAAUCUCGGCUCACUGCAAGUCCCGCCUCCAGGGUUCACGCCAUUCUCCUGCCUCACGCCUGGCUAAUUUUUUGUAUUUUUAGUAGAGAUG